UAAGAAUUUGCGCGUGUACUUCCCAAUAACGGUUAUCGUUCAUUAGUUUUGUUCAUGUAAAAAUGGUGUCCAACAAACGAUACACAAAACCAGUGUUGUACUUAUUUGGAGUAAAUUGUCGUAAUCCCACUACAACCGCGACAAAUACACCAGAUGUCGCCUUUUGAGUAGAGAUUCGAGAAAUGUCUAACAUAUGCACUGACAUUUUUUGAUCAAUUGAAAAUGUAAUAAUUAUGUGUCAAUUUAUAAUUGAUGAGCAUCUACUCCAUUAUCCAGGUUGGUAAAAUUUACAAUUCAUUUAUCGUAUGAUUGCAAUUUUGAAACAAGUUAAUUUUUGUGAAAUGAUUGAAGAUGGCAAUAGCUGACCAUAUUCAAAUGAGUCGGGCGUCAAAAUAUUAGAUCAGUGUAACUUCAUUGUAUGUGACAUCUGGCUUAGAGGAUGCUUUUACCACAGAAUAUCGAAGUGGCAAUAACUGAUAAAAUAUGCUGGUGCUUACAUUUAGGAUUGCAUAGAACCUCUCCAGUUCUGUUUAUCCAUAUUCAAAUGAGUCCAACAUCACAAUAUUAGAUAUCAGCAGCAAGCAAAUUGAGGUCAACAAUGAAUAUUUAUCACAGGCAACACCUACAAAACUCUACAAACAAAGGUAUUAUGGCAAGUGGUCAGACAUCCAACAUGAAAAGUAUAUAUUGAUACCACAAAACGUUCCAUAUUGAUUAGUAUUCAAGUGGAUAUGACACAAAAAUGCUUCGGUGGCUAUUGAGAUCCAUAAACACAGAAAUAAUAUCAAUAGAAAAGGUGGAACCUAAAAACAAGAUCAAAUUUGGACACCAGUUCUUAAAAACAUACAAAUUUGCUAAGCAGAUUAGAACUGCCACUGAGCAGAUCAAAAUUUAUCGAACAUCAGAUGUGAGAUGACAAAAAACACAAAUUAAAUCGGACUUCUGAACGUCAGUAAAUAAUUCUGUUGAAAUUAGGAAAAGCGUUUGACCCGUCUGAAUUUAGGGGGAGACAUCAUGCACGACAGACAGUAGAAGUCUGUUCCAUAGUGGAGGACAUACUCUCUUUAUGUACAUAUCUCUUUCAGGAUUUAGAUGAAUCAAACUCUUCUUGUAUUGUAUGUGUACAUUACAGUUGUAAUUUCUUGAGGCAGUCGGUAACUUAACAAAAGAACAUUGGAUGCUGGAAUGCAUAUUCUGAUGUUUAAAAUUGUAUAAUAAUUUCUGCCAGGAUCGUUAUGAUUUCAAUGUGUGUAUAUGUAAAUUUUGUUUUUUAAACCAUGAAUCGUAAAAUGUGCAUCUGUUAAUUUAAGGUUUAUAACCUGCUGCUCCAUAAACAUUGGAGUAUGUUAUUACUGGGUGCAUUAAUAUACGAACAAUGGUUUUUGAUUUCAGUUUAUUCAGUCACCAAAUGAAUUGAUCCUUUGUGUUGUUUGUUGAGCACCAUCACUAAUUGGAUUAGAAGGUGGACUCUUCUUAAUCGUUUUGUGCUUCAUAUUGGAAAGUGAGACUUGAUAUUUUUGAUUUGUCACUUCUUCAGUAUCACCACCACUGGUAACUGACAAUAUUCUUAUGUUCAUAAUAUAUUUCCAAAUUUAAUUGUGGUUUUUAAAUUAUUUUUGAGUAUUUAAUGGUUGUUGUAGAUGACAUUAUUGUUGAAGGAGGCCUCAACGUCAUUGUUCUUGGCAAUCUCAUUAUUCUUGCCGAUUUUGAUAAGAUAUAUUAUAAAUCAAAAUGACUAUUCAGGUUUUAUAUUACCGAAGAUUUGAAUAUCGUUAUGUCUUCUUGUAAAAUGUGUGCUGUGUCCAAAUUAUUGCCAUGCAUGUUUGUACAUCUAACGAUAUAAAUGUCGUUUAGGCCUUCUGGUAAAUUAUGUACUUGGGGUCUUGAAGUGAGUCCUAAUUUAUAUGACUUGUCACAAACUCUACAGUGACAGACAGGAUGUAGUUUGUGCUGAAGUAACACAAAAGGCUAUAGAGGCUGUUGUUGAAUGUUUAUUUCGAAAUAGUGUGGCAUGUGUCUCCACACAGAUGUAAUAGCGUCUUCCCUUGAAGAUCCAGGAGUGUCUUCCCUUUCGGGGCCAAGUACUGCAUUCCUUUCAUCUUCUGACAAACCUAAGUAUCACAAAAAGCUAUAGAGGCUGUUGUUGAAUGUGUUUAUUUCAAAAUGGUGUGGCAUGUCUUUCGUAUAAACUAGUCACAAUUAUAUAAGUAUUGCAUCAAAAAAUGUUUGUAAUUUUUUACUUUUUUUGUCUAUCAUGAUUGAUAGCUUUUCCAUAGUUAUCGUUUGUGGUCAAUAUCGAUUGAACAUGGGUGCCGUUAGAAGUCAUGUGGUUUUAACAAAGUCAUGGAGUACAGCAGUUCCAGUUAAACCUUUCAUUUGGGUCAAAAGUUGGUCUCCCAACUCGAUGUCAGACCACAGUUUUUUCGUCUUUUUUUUCUAGAUACUCACUGAAAACAGAUAUUAGUUUUUCUUUUAUGUUUUUGUACUACAUAUUUAGCGGUGGAUUGAUGAUUUCAUCAGUUAGUUACUGUAGGAUAUCAAUGUCGAUUGCUCUCAACAUAUGGUGAUGUUUGGUCGAGUCAGUGGUAAUUUCAGCUAGGGCAAAUUGUGACUCAAUUUUCAGUUCAGUUUUAGCUUCACAAACCAUUCUUAUGAGUAUUCCAUAUUUUUUAAUUGUAGGUGCAUUAUAAAUUUUCAAUGAUAUACAACCUCUCCAUGGUGUAA